rnacentral:lncRNA from 1 species
UAAUUUUUUACAGUUUUCAGCUAGAGCAGUCUUCAGCUAGGGCAAAAUAUAGUCUUCAUAUCAGCUUGGUAAAAUAGUCUUCAUAAUCAAUUGAAUUGCAAACUGCGUCGGGUAUUUUCAAUAAGAAUUGCAUGGGGAAUAAAAGUAUAAUACUCUGACGAGAAUCUGACAUCGUGUAAAUAUAUCUGUUGCUAAAAUGUUUCUAGUUUGUCUUGUUUCUUUGUUGUUUUCUACACAGAAUUUCAGAUUAUUUCUUUUUUUCAUUUUAAUAUUUUUCAUAAAUUCUGUCUUAACAAAGUUUCUUUAAUUGUAGAUGGAGAGAAAGAUUGAUAUAUCAUUAUAGCUCGAGGUUAUUUUUCGUUGAUUGUUGUAUUAUUCAUGAUUUUAUCUUUUUCACUUUGGCGUUCUACCAGGAAGUUGCUGAUAUUGUUGACUGAUAAUAAGUCCUUGAGGGCUGUUAUUGUUACACAGUUUCUCAUUGGUCAAUAUCGUGCGUUCCACCGUGAAUUUGUCAGUCCCUUUUUGCAUUCGUGGCAGAAACUGUUAGCUAACUGGCAUUGUACUUCUUGCUUGUAUUGUGUGCAAACGUGUUUUAUAAUUUUGUUUGGAAUUUAAUUAAAUUUCCACCGUAAUACGAGCACUCAGAUAUAAUAAAAUGAUAUAACAAUGGACAGGAGGAAUGAUUACACGUAUUCAAGUUAUUAUAAGACUCGUUUGACAAAGAUUGUAUAUCCAUGUCAUCCGUCUCUAUGGACUGAUCAGAAUGCGAAGCACCUGAUUCCAUACGGGAUUCAUUAUCAAGUACAGAAACAUCAGAUUCAUCAUUACUGCUUGAGCUUGAAUCAUCUGGAGGUAUUACAUAGUUAACCCUUCGUCUUGGAUAACCUUUGACAGCUUUGCGUUCGGGCCAUUCAGCAAUGUCAGCAAGCCUUAUCUGAUCUGCAUGUACUUGAACAACAGAGUUGUCAAGCUGGUUCUUAAUAAGGACCUCCCUAAAGGCAGAACUCGUAAAUUCGACCCUCGGUCAUAAAUUAUCUGGAGAGGACAUCCAUAUCUAGGAUAUAUCUCAUUCAAAAGUAAGUCUAUUACUGUAUUUGUACUUUUAUCAGGAGCUGCGAAAGCUUCUGGAAAACCACUGAACAUGUCAACAAAACAAAUGAUGUAACGAUUGCUA